CUUAACACAUGCAAGUCGAACGAGAACGGUAUAUUCUUCGGAAUAUAUGUCAGCUAAGUGGCGCACGGGUGAGUAACACGUAGCUACCUGCCUCAUAGACCGGGAUAACAGUUGGAAACGACUGCUAAUACUGGAUAUACCCUAAGGGGGAAAGAUUUUGUCGCUAUGAGAUGGGGCUGCGGUGUAUCAGUUAGUUGGUGAGGUAAAGGCUCACCAAGACUAUGACGCAUAACUGGUCUGAGAGGAUGGUCAGUCACACUGGAACUGAGACACGGUCCAGACUCCUACGGGAGACAGCAGUGGGGAAUAUUGCACAAUGGAGGAAACUCUGAUGCAGCAAUACCGCGUGGAGGAAGAAGCAUUUCGGUGUGUAAACUCCUUUUAUAUUCGAAGAUAAUGACGGUAGAAUAUGAAUAAGCACCGGCUAACUCCGUGCCAGCAGCCGCAGUAAUACGGAGGGUGCAAGCGUUACUCGGAAUCACUGGGCGUAAAGAGCGCGUAGGCGGGUUGUUAAGUUGGAAGUGAAAGCCCACAGCUCAACUGUGGAACUGCUUCCAAAACUGGCAACCUAGAAUUUGGGAGAGGUAAGUGGAAUUCCUGGUGUAGGGGUGAAAUCCGUAGAGAUUAGGAGGAAUAC
rnacentral:rRNA from 1 species